rnacentral:tRNA from 1 species
GGCUUCGUAGCUUAGCUGGUAGAGCGCUUGCCGCGUAGAGGCAUGGUAUUUCUGUCCCUGGUUCGAAUCCAGCCGAAGCCC